UGCCCAAGAGAUCGGGAUAACACCUGGAAUCAGAUGCUAAUACCGGAUAACAACAGAUGAUGCCUAUCAACUGUUUAAAAGAUGGUUCUGCUAUCACUCUUGGAUGGACCUGCGGUGCAUUAGCUAGUUGGUAGGGUAACGGCCUACCAAGGCGAUGAUGCAUAGCCGAGUUGAGAGACUGAUCGGCCACAUUGGGACUGAGACACGGCCCAAACUCCUACGGGAAGCAGCAGCC
rnacentral:rRNA from 1 species